rnacentral:rRNA from 1 species
CCUACGGGAGGCUGCAGUGAGGAAUAUUGGUCAAUGGACGCAAGUCUGAACCAGCCAUGCCGCGUGCGGGAAGACGGCUCUAUGAGUUGUAAACUGCUUUUGUACGAGGGUAAACGCAGAUACGCGUAUCUGUCUGAAAGUAUCGUACGAGUAAGGAUCGGCUAACUCCGUGCCAGCAGCCGCGGUAAUACGGAGGAGUCAAGCGUUAUCCGGAUUGAUUGGGUUUAAAGGGUGCGUAGGCGGUCGGAUAAGUUAGAGGUGAAAUCCCCAGGCUCAACUUCGGAAUUGCAUCCGAUACUGUUCGGCUAGAGAGUAGUUGCGGUAGGCGGAAUGUAUGGUGUAGCGGUGAAAUGCGUAGAGAUCAUGCAGAACACCGAUUGCGAAGGCAGCCUACCAAGCUACUUCUGACGCUGAGGCACGAAAGCGUGGGGAGCAAACAGGAUUAGAUACCCUAGUAGUC